GCACAAGCGGUGGAGCAUGUGGUUUAAUUCGAUGCAACGCGAAGAACCUUACCUACUCUUGACAUCCAGAGAACUUUGCAGAGAUGCUUUGGUGCCUUCGGGAACUCUGAGACAGGUGCUGCAUGGCUGUCGUCAGCUCGUGUUGUGAAAUGUUGGGUUAAGUCCCGCAACGAGCGCAACCCUUAUCCUUUGUUGCCAGCGGUUAGGCCGGGAACUCAAAGGAGACUGCCAGUGAUAAACUGGAGGAAGGUGGGGAUGACGUCAAGUCAUCAUGGCCCUUACGAGUAGGGCUACACACGUGCUACAAUGGCGCAUACAAAGAGAAGCGACCUCGCGAGAGCAAGCGGACCUCAUAAAGUGCGUCGUAGUCCGGAUUGGAGUCUGCAACUCGACUCCAUGAAGUCGGAAUCGCUAGUAAUCGUAGAUCAGAAUGCUACGGUGAAUACGUUCCCGGGCCUUGUACACACCGCCCGUCACACCAUGGGAGUGGGUUGCAAAAGAAGUAGGUAGCUUAACCUUCGGGAGGGCGCUUACCACUUUGUGAUUCAUGACUGGGGUGAAGUCGUAACAAGGUAACCGUAGGGGAACCUGCGGUUGGAUCACCUCCUUACCUUAAAGAA
rnacentral:rRNA from 1 species